rnacentral:rRNA from 1 species
AGCGCAGGAAGCAGGCAGAUCCCCUUCGGGGGUGAUGCCUGUGGAAUGAGCGGCGGACGGGUGAGUAACACGUGGGCAACCUGCCUGUAAGAUCGGAAUAACUCCGGGAAACCGGGGCUAAUGCCGGGUAAUCUUUUCCCUCGCAUGAGGGAGAAGUAAAAGAUGGCCUUUGGCUAUCACUUACAGAUGGGCCCGCGGCGCAUUAGCUAGUUGGUGAGGUAAUAGCUCACCAAGGCGACGAUGCGUAGCCGACCUGAGAGGGUGAUCGGCCACACUGGGACUGAGACACGGCCCAGACUCCUACGGGAGGCAGCAGUAGGGAAUCUUCCGCAAUGGACGAAAGUCUGACGGAGCAACGCCGCGUGAACGAUGAAGGUCUUCGGAUCGUAAAGUUCUGUUGUUAGGGAAGAACAAGUACCGUGCGAAUAGAGCGGUACCUUGACGGUACCUAACGAGGAAGCCCCGGCUAACUACGUGCCAGCAGCCGCGGUAAUACGUAGGGGGCAAGCGUUGUCCGGAAUUAUUGGGCGUAAAGCGCGCGCAGGCGGUUUCUUAAGUCUGAUGUGAAAGCCCACGGCUCAACCGUGGAGGGUCAUUGGAAACUGGGGAACUUGAGGACAGAAGAGGAGAG